GACGAACGCUGGCGGCGUGCUUAACACAUGCAAGUCGAACGGUGAAGCGCCUUCCUUUUUGGUGGGUGUGGAUGAGUGGCGAACGGGUGAGUAACACGUGAGUAACCUUCCCCCUUCUUCUGGAUAACCGCAUGAAAGUGUUGCUAAUACGGGAUAUUCUGGGUCUGUCGCAUGAUGGGUCUGGGAAAGAUAUUGUUUCGGUGGGGGAUGGGCUCGCGGCCUAUCAGCUUGUUGGUGGGGUGAUGGCCUACCAAGGCGGUGAGGGGUAGCCGGCCUGAGAGGGUGGGCGGCACCACAGGGACGGAGACGCGGCCAAGACUCCGACGGGAGGCAGCAGUGGGGAUUAUUGCACAAUGGGCGCCAGGCUGAUGCAGCGCCGCCGCGGGAGGGAUGGAGGCCUUCGGGUUGUGAACCUCUUUCGCCAGUGAAGCAGGCCUGACUCGUUUGUGGGUGGGUUGACGGUAGCUGGAUAAGAAGCGCCGGCUAACUACGUG
rnacentral:rRNA from 1 species